AUUGAACGCUGGCGGCAGGCCUAACACAUGCAAGUCGAGCGGAUGAAGGGAGCUUGCUCCUGGAUUCAGCGGCGGACGGGUGAGUAAUGCCUAGGAAUCUGCCUGGUAGUGGGGGAUAACGUCCGGAAACGGGCGCUAAUACCGCAUACGUCCUGAGGGAGAAAGUGGGGGAUCUUCGGACCUCACGCUAUCAGAUGAGCCUAGGUCGGAUUAGCUAGUUGGUGGGGUAAAGGCCUACCAAGGCGAGGAUCCGUAACUGGUCUGAGAGGAUGAUCAGUCACACUGGAACUGAGACACGGUCCAGACUCCUACGGGAGGCAGCAGUGGGGAAUAUUGGACGAUGGGCGAAAGCCUGAUCCAGCCAUGCCGCGUGUGUGAAGAAGGUCUUCGGAUUGUAAAGCACUUUAAGUUGGGAGGAAGGGCAGUAAGUUAAUACCUUGCUGUUUUGACGUUACCAACAGAAUAAGCACCGGCUAACUUCGUG
rnacentral:rRNA from 1 species